CAGUCGCCGCGGGAAUACGGAGGGUGCAAGCGUUAAUCGGAAUUACUGGGCGUAAAGCGCACGCAGGCGGUCUGACAAGUCAGAUGUGAAAUCCCCGGGCUUAACCUGGGAACUGCAUUUGAAACUGUCAGGCUGGAGUCUUGUAGAGGGGGGUAGAAUUCCAGGUGUAGCGGUGAAAUGCGUAGAGAUCUGGAGGAAUACCGGUGGCGAAGGCGGCCCCCUGGACAAAGACUGACGCUCAGGUGCGAAAGCGUGGGGAGCAAACAGGAUUAGAUACCCCGGUAGUCCCUGUCUCUUAUAA
rnacentral:rRNA from 1 species